GCUCUCCAUACCCUACUUCGACUCAAUACGUCCCCGGCGUAUAGAACGGUAACAUGUCUCUCCAAAUAUCUGAGCUUGGGUAUACGGGGAAACCCAACCCCUUGGGAAGAUGGGUGAUAUGGCUAAAUUGAGCGGA
rnacentral:ribozyme from 1 species